UACGUAGGGGGCAAGCGUUGUCCGGAAUCAUUGGGCGUAAAGAGCGUGUAGGCGGUCCGGUAAGUCGGCUGUGAAAGUCCAGGGCUCAACCCUGGGAUGCCGGUCGAUACUGCCGGACUAGAGUUCGGAAGAGGCGAGUGGAAUUCUCGGUGUAGCGGUGAAAUGCGUAGAUAUCGAGAGGAACACCUGCGGCGAAGGCGGGUUGCUGGGCUGACACUGACGCUGAAGUGCGAAAGCUAGGGGAGCGAACGGG
rnacentral:rRNA from 1 species